AGUUGGAUUUCUGUUGUAAAAUAUUACCAAGGUAAUUAUUAUAUUAUCAACAUCCUUCCUAUUAUAUUCAAAAUAUAUAGGAAGUUUUACUUUGAGAAAAUUAGAGUGCUUAAAGCAGGCAACUGCCUUGAAUACUCCAGCAUGGAAAAAAAAGUAAGGACUUUUGUCUUUCUUAUUGGUUCUAGGACACAAGUAAUGGUUAAUAGGGACAGUUGGGGGCAUUCGUAUUUAACAGCCAGAGGUGAAAAUCUUAGAUUUGUUAAAGACGAACUACUGCGAAAGCAUUUGCCAAGGAUGUUUUCAUUAAUCAAGAACG
rnacentral:rRNA from 1 species